UAUUGGGCAAUGGGCGCAAGCCUGACCCAGCAACGCCGCGUGAAGGAAGAAGGCUUUCGGGUUGUAAGCUUCUUUGACAGGGGAAGAGACGAAGACGGUACCCUGAAAACAAGCCACGGCUAACUACGUGCCAGCAGCCGCGGUAAUACGUAGGUGGCGAGCGUUGUCCGGAUUUACUGGGUGUAAAGGGCGUGCAGCCGGGAAUACAAGUCAGAUGUGAAAUCCCGCGGCUCAACCGCGGAACUGCAUUUGAAACUGUAUUUCUUGAGUACUGGAGAGGCAGACGGAAUUCCUAGUGUAGCGGUGAAAUGCGUAGAUAUUAGGAGGAACACCAGUGGCGAAGGCGGUCUGCUGGACAGCAACUGACGGUGAGGCGCGAAAGCGUGGGGAGCAAACAGGA
rnacentral:rRNA from 1 species